GUGAAACUGCGAAUGGCUCAUUAAAUCAGUUAUAGUUUAUUUGAUAUGACCUUACUACUUGGAUAACCGUGGUAAUUCUAGAGCUAAUACAUGCAAUAAAAUCCCGACUUCUGGAAGGGAUGUAUUUAUUAGAUACAAAAGCCAACCCGGAAACGGUUCUUUGGUGAUUCAUAGUAACUUUUCGAAUCGCAUGGCUUUACGCCGGCGAUGGUUCAUUCAAAUUUCUGCCCUAUCAACUUUUGAUGGUAGUAUAGAGGACUACCAUGGUUUUUACGGGUAACGGCGAAUUAGGGUUCGAUUCCGGAGAGGGAGCCUGAGAAACGGCUACCACAUCUAAGGAAGGCAGCAGGCGCGCAAAUUACCCAAUCCUGAUUCAGGGAGGUAGUGACAAUAAUAACAAUCCAGGGCUUCGGUCUUGGAAUUGGAAUGAGAACAAUUUAAAUCCCUUAACGAGGAACAAUUGGAGGCAAGUCUGGUGCCAGCAGCCGCGGUAAUUCCAGCUCCAAUAGCGUAUAUUAAAGUUGUUGCAGUUAAAUAGCUCGUAGUUGAAUUUUGGGCCGGGUUUGUAGGUCGCGCCAAUGGCAUGUACUUACGGCCUGGUCUUUCCUUGCGGGGAAUGCGUGUGCUCUUUACUGAGUGUGCGUAGGAACCGCGACUUUUACUUUGAAAAAAUUAGAGUGUUUAAAGCAGGCGUUUGCUUGUAUAUAUUAGCAUGGAAUAAUAGAAUAGGACUUUCGGUCUUAUUUUGUUGGUUUCUAGGACUGAAGUAAUGAUUAAUAGGGAUAGUUGGGGGCAUUAGUAUUUAAUUGUCAGAGGUGAAAUUCUUGGAUUUAUGAAAGACUAACUUCUGCGAAAGCAUUUGCCAAGGAUGUUUUCAUUAAUCAAGAACGAAAGUUAGGGGAUCGAAGAUGAUCAGAUACCGUCGUAGUCCUAACCAUAAACUAUGCCGACUAGGGAUUGGACGU
rnacentral:rRNA from 1 species